GACGAACGCUGGCGGCGUGCUUAACACAUGCAAGUCGAACGGAAAGGCCCUGCUUUUGUGGGGUGCUCGAGUGGCGAACGGGUGAUUAACACGUGAGUAACCUGCCCUUGACUUUGGGAUAACUUCAGGAAACUUGGGCUCAUACCGGAUCUGAGCUCCUGCUGCAUGGUCGGGGUUGGAAAGUUUCGGCGGUUGGGGAUGGACUCGCGGCUUAUCAGCUUGUUGGUGGGGUAGUGACUUACCAAGGCUUUGACGGGUAGCCGGCCUGAGAGGGUGACCGGCCACAUUGGGACUGAGAUACGGCCCAGACUCCUAAGGGAGGCAGCAGUGGGGAAUAUGGCACAAUGGGGGGAAGACUGAUGCAGCAACGCCGCGUGCGGGAAGACGGCCUUCGGGUUGUAAACCGCUUUCGCCUGUGACGAAGCGUGAGUGACGGUAAUGGGUAAAGAAGCACCGGCUAACUACGUG
rnacentral:rRNA from 1 species